GUGCUGAACGGGAAAAGUAAUUUCCAUUACAUUAUGAACAGGUCAUCCCCUCCCUUACUGCAUUUUCUCAGGGUCAACACAAUCAUGAACACUAAUGGAUGUCUACUACAGUUGAGGUGGUAAGAAGAGCCUGCUCAAAUUGAAAUAAAAUCCUGUCCACAAUUCUAUGCCUGAAGUUUUAGUAUCAUCGAUGGUUCUAAUAAUCAGAUAUAAUGUGUUAGAAAUCUAUAGAUACUAUAAAUCAGAUAUUUUCCCCCACUAAUAGAAACAUUCUAAAAUAUCUCCUUUAGCAAAUUAUUUGCUUAAGAAGCGGCAGGGAUGAUAUUUUCCAUAUAGUUGAAAAGAGAAUGUUUCAGACACCAAACCAUAACUUAUCCUUUGGCAAGACCCAUUAAAAAUAUUUUGAUGUGUGUGUGUGUGUGUGUGUGUACAUGCGUGUAUUCUCAUAUACCUGGGGAACAGCAUGAAACUCUUGCUUUGUUAUAGGAGUACAUAACUGCUGCGUUAUGUCCUGUCUUUCUAAUCUUCUGCCUAUCUAAUUAUCUAUGUAACAUUUAGAAGGGAACUGGGUCAUUGUGAAGCAGAAUGUUUAAUUAACCAAAAAGAAUCUAGUUCUGGAAAUCAAAUAUGUAUAAGGAUCAUCAUAAUCUAAAUGCUAAUAAAUAAUGCCUUUAUGUUACUAAGCAGAGCUGAAAAAAACCUCAGAACCUAUGCAUUUGACUUCUGAACAUGUGAGAAGUGAGUUAAGGGAUAUUUACUUAUUUCUUAUCGAAAUUCUGUUAGAUUUGCCUAACUCAUAUAGACUGUAGAAUUCUCAUUUUUAUUUUGGUAACAUUAUAAUAGCACUAUUUUGCAUUUGCAUUUAUUAGGAAUUUAUUUGACAAUGAACGUGCAUAUCAAUUGCAUUAUUUAAUCCCAAACAACCUUCUCACCAAAGGCAAAUAUUAGAAGUUAAGGAAAUUGAAUCUUAAAGAGGUUAAGUAACUCGCUGAAGUUUGUCAUUUUUUUUGCAAGAUGGUCCCACUACUCUAUCUCUCUUUGUGGAAAGAUUUUAAAGUUAAAAAUUCUACAUGUUUAUUUAACAAAUCAUUAUUAGCUCAAUAUCAUUUGUGUGUGUGUGUGCUUGAUUAAGAAUUCACAAAAGGGUCCAAGAAAUUUCUUUUUAAAUACAUUGACCUAAGAUAUAUCACCAAGUACUUCAAGUAGGGUAAGAUCUGGAAGGACGAGCCAUAAAGCAGAGUAUUUAUUUAGCACACAGGAUCUGACUCCAGUGCAUUUUGGUUUGAAAUCUGAUGAGGCUACUGACCAAAUGUUCUUGGACUAUUGAUUCUCCUCUGUAUUCUUCGGUUGUUUUGUAAGAACAUGGCAGAAAUUACACCAACCUCAGAAGGCUGUGGUAUGGAUGAAUGAAGUAAAACGUACAAAGUUUUCUAAAUUUUGUGCUUACUUAUUUGAUAUUUUAAUCUAGGGAAAGGAAAUGCCAAGUAAAGAGUAGUCCCUCGCCCAUCUAGCAUUGAAUUAGUGAAUAUGUAUGUACGUGUUUAUAUGCAUUAAGGAGGAAAGUAAAAAAAGUCAUUGGCAGCUGGCUAGGAGGAGACAAUGACUUUUGCAAAUGAGAAAUGAGAAUUUUGAGGAGCUAUAUCACCAUUCACUAACACUGAACACCUAUGACUCGCCCCUGUGGGGUAUUAUUUGAUGUUAUGUGGAGAAACACACCCCAUUCCCAUACAGCAAUCAAAACGUGGCAUUGCCUACAAUGUCAAAUGAUAGAUACGGAUCUAAUAAACUGUAGAAAAGAAAGUUAAAAUGUGUUAGCAGUGAUGUAGGGACUCAGUAAUAAAGGUAGUAACUGAGGAAUCUAAAUAGGUUUUUCUGUUACAGAUUUUUAGAUCUAGAUGUACUCUGUUGUAACAUAUGUGGCUUAAUCUUGAGAUUUUUGCAGGACUAAUGCCCUUGCUGCUUAAUGUGAAUUAAACAUCUUUUAGAAAAGAAAGUGAUAUUUUGCAGGGAGCAAUUUUCUCUUUGAGUCGCUUAUGUGCAAGUCUAUUUUCAAAAGCUAAGUUUCUAUGAUAAAGUUUCAGGGCUUACCCCGUGAGGAACAAAGAACCUGGAAGCAAGCCAGGUGCUUAGUACUCAACACAUUUAAAGCAAAACCAAUACUGUGGGCCAGCAGACACUUGGAUGUUAAUGGCACAUUAGAUUACUUCUCAGACCUUUAUUACAAGGACUUCAAAAGUGUAGCCUUUGAUAGGUGACAGUCUCACUGUAUGUCAAAGAGUGGAACUUUUAAAUCUCCUUUUGAGUUGUUAGAGUUUGCAGUUGUAUCAGCAAGGCAUGGGGGAGUGCUGGUAAAUUCAAGGACAAGUUCUUUCUGCUAUGACUGACUGGAAAGAGGGGUGAAUUAAGUGUUCUCGAAAAUAGCAAAGCAGGAAAAUACAAUUUCAUUUAUUUCAUAGUUCGUUCUUUUUACUAUGAUUGGGAAUGACCUUUCUAAAUACAUGCGAUAUGAACAUCUAACAAUAUUCAUAAAUUUGGCUUAAAGAACUUAUGAGAAAAAAAGAACUUAUGAGAAGACUGAUUUAUUUUGCUCCUAAUUUACAUAAUCUUUCGAAAGUAAGUUUUCUCUAUGAAAUAAAAUUCAAGUAAGUAUAUGUAUAAAUUAUAAUUGUAGCAUUUCUUACUAUCAAAAUCAGUUAAACACAACACAGUUAUGUACUUUUUAUUUCAUUAUGGCUUCAACAGUUGGUGAUUAUUUUCUAAUUUAUACAGGUUUAUCAUAUGUAUUUUAUAAUGAUUAAUUAAGUACUCUCAUCUGAAACUGAACUCACUUGAUAAUCAUUAUUUUUUUUCUGUAUUCAAAAUUUGUGUGAUUAUCAUAGUCAUGGUGAUAACAAUAAAAAAGGCAUGAGGGUGAGCAAACAUGAAAAUUUUUUAAUAUGUACAAUUCACUUUGAAAAUCUAUCUGGUUUAAUUUUUCAUUAAAAAUAUGUACGCAUAUUUUCUUGAAAGAUGUGUUCCAAAGAACAUCUGAAAAUAAUAUAUUUAAAUGGAAUUAUUUCAAAUAGAAAGUGAUACAACCUCACCCCACCACUGAUAGAGGACCAGUAUAUUGGGGGGGGGGGGGGGAAGAACUAUAAGCAAAGAAAACUAAGGAUUUGAUUUGAUUUUCACAAAGUGAUAGGUAACCCAAGAUUGAUAGACCCAGUCCGUGAACCACAUCAUGUGGAUGUUUAUUGAGGAAUGACCGUAUGCUUAACACUGUAUUUUGCAUGCACACUUGAGAGGAACUCUCCAUCAAUAUGAAUCACUCUGCUGAGUCAGCAUGCCGUUGUGGUUUAAGUAUCAUUCUAAAUGCAAAAUAGGUACCAAUCUGUUUCUGGUAAACAGUAUAUGCAAGCAUAAGUCCCAGUUUGCACUGACAGUUCUUGGGUACACAGAGUUCUUGACAACUCAUACAUCAGCACAGAGCUCUUGGCCGCCACGACACUGGUUGUCUUCUUUACUUAAUGCUUUCCCUUUCUCCCUUCACAUUAGUUGUUUGGGUUUUGUCUCCCCUAAUUUACCUCUAAUUCAUUCCUAAACCCAUGCUAAUUGGUAUUCUUUCCACGCUAUUCCACUGAAACUGCUACUCCCAAGGUCACCAAUGACCUCGUUUUGCUAAAACCAAUAGACACUUCCCACUUUUCCCCUCACAUGAACUGACACCGUAUUUUUAUGGUAUUGCCUCCUCUUACUUUCAUUAUUUUUCUUUUACCUCCUAUCUGUAUGACUUUUCCCUUAGUUUUUUUCUCUCCUUAUUGGAGCAAUCUUUAUUUCCUUCUGCCUUUUCUAAAUGUUGAUAUUUUUCACAGACCUGCCCAUAGUUCUUUUCCACAUUACAAAAUUUUCUUUUUGUUUUACAUUGCUGAGAUAUUUCAAAGAUUUCCAUUUGUUUAUUUAUAUCUUUAGGAUGCCCAGAGCAGUUCUUUCUCAUGAACUCAGGCCUAGAUAUGCAGUUGAAUAAUACAUAUCCGUUUCACUCUGCUUGUUCGCAUUCAUCUACGUCUCUUCUUCCCUAUGCCACAAUCUCUGUUCAAGCCUCAUCAUUUCUUUCCUCAAUAACUCAACAUACACCUGACUGACAUCUCUGUUCUAAAGUUGUCUACUUCCGUUCCAUCAGCAGAAAAUCAAAAGGGAUUUUCCUCCUAAAACAGAAAUAUAUUCAUGUCACUCCUUUAAUGCUACUAAAACUCCCCAGUGACUUCCUCUUCUAUGGUGGUGACAACACAAACGUCAUACUAAGGCUUUACAAAGUUCAUUUUGUAAUACUUCCUCUCUUUCCUGCCAACUUCUCCAGCUUCACUUUCCCUCUGUCCUUUUGCUUCCAGCCUCUGUCACCUAACUAUGCCUUUGAUUUUCACAAAGUGAUAGGCAACUGACUGACUUUUUUUUGUAGAUUGAUCAUUAUGGAUUCUUCUCUCUUAUUUCUGAGCAUUUGCAUAUUCUAUAUGAAAUGCCACAUAUUUUACCAGGCUAACUUGUACUCAUUUUUUAAAAAAAUCUAAGCCUAGAAAACAUUUCUUCAGGAAACCUUCCUUUAAUGCUGUAGACUGGGUUUAGCACCCCUACCAUGAAUUUCAUGGUACCUUAUACCUACCCCUAAGUAAGCAUUUGCCUUUUUCACUAAAGAGUGACCCUGGAAGGUCAGUGCUGGGUCUUACUCAUUGUUAUUUUUCUUGGAGUUGAGCAUAGUGCCUGGAAUAAAGCUAUUAUUCAACAAACAUUUGUGAUGUGAAUUAAAGGCCAACAAUUGCAACAAAAACUCUAGUCAAGGCUAUGAAAUAGAAAGCCGGCGUAUUGUCAGAUACACUCUUAGAUUAAUAGAACAUGAUGUCACAGUUCUAGAUAAAAAUUUAACCUAUCUUGGCAGCAGACUGAAAGAUCUAAUUUAUAGUCACUCAAAAUGUGAAUGUAGAUGUGGUACUGACAUCACAGAAACAUAUGCAUCCCAGUCACUGACAGUAAAUAUGCUUCCCAUGCAAAUAUAAGAAAAUAAUGCAAGGAGAAGUCUAACCCAACAGUCUGGAAGGAGGGAGUGUUCAGGGCUGGUUGAAUGAAAGACCUGGAUUUGGGACUCUUGAGUGGCUCAGAGGUUGAGCAAACUGCCUUUGGCUCCAGGCAUGAUCCUGGGAUCCUGGGAUCCUGGAAUCGGAGCCCCGCUUCGGGCUCCCCAUGGGAGCCUGCUUUUCCCUCUGCCUAUGUCUCUGCCUCUCUCUCCGUGUUUCCCAUGAAUAAAUAAAAUCUUAGAAAAAAAAA
rnacentral:lncRNA from 1 species